AGCCGACAGGUCCUGUCCCACAUCCGCAACCUGCAAACCAACCUCAACCACCUCAAGGAGGUAGAGGCCAAGUAUCACAGUCUACUACGCCAAAGGCCGGCCAGGUCAUCGACAGACAUCGACGAUAACAAAGAUAAGAGAUAGUCACGGAAAUCCCACCCCUCCCCUCCCCGGCCCCUGCAUCAGGCCGUAAGGGAGGACGUGAAGAUGGAAGAGUUGAUUUCUGCCUCCCUGCUGUCUCGUUGACCUGGAUGUCCUCUAUUAGCUUGUCCACUCAACUGCUGAGUACCCUCUUCCUCCUCCCACCGUGGUUCUCCCCGAGAGACUGAGCAUGAGCGAGAGACAGUUGGAGGAAGGGUGGUUUCUUUGGAUCUCUCCCCCCCCCUGCUCCAUCCGUCAGCACAAGGCAAUCAGGGAAGAGGGACUGUCCCGAACCUAGCCCCGCCUUCCCCCUGGCCCUGCACCCCCUCCUGCUGCGUGUCCCCACUCCAAUGGCGGUGGGUCGCCCAGUGUCUCCCCUCCUUUCUCUCUACUCCUAGUCAUCCCUGCAAGAAAGAGAACUAUACCAAAAUGUACAAAGCUGUGUGUUUAGGAUAUAUAUUAUACACAAAAAAAAA